AGAAAGUGGAGAAAAGAAACCACAAAAAAACUGGGUGUAUUCCGAAAGACCAUAAGAGUAGGAACAAAC
rnacentral:ncRNA from 1 species